UACGUAGGGUGCAAGCGUUGUCCGGAAUUAUUGGGCGUAAAGAGCUCGUAGGCGGUUUGACGCGUCUGCUGUGAAAACUCAGGGCUUAACCCUGAGCCUGCAGUGGGUACGGGCAGACUAGAGUGUGGUAGGGGAGAUCGGAAUUCCUGGUGUAGCGGUGGAAUGCGCAGAUAUCAGGAGGAACACCGGUGGCGAAGGCGGAUCUCUGGGCCAUAACUGACGCUGAGGAGCGAAAGCAUGGGGAGCGAACAGG
rnacentral:rRNA from 1 species